rnacentral:rRNA from 1 species
UACGUAGGGGGCAAGCGUUGUCCGGAAUCAUUGGGCGUAAAGAGCGUGUAGGCGGCCCGAUAAGUCCGCCGUGAAAGUCCAGGGCUCAACCCUGGGAUGCCGGUGGAAACUGUCGGGCUAGAGUCCGGAAGAGGCGAGUGGAAUUCCUGGUGUAGCGGUGAAAUGCGCAGAUAUCAGGAGGAACACCAAUGGCGAAGGCAGCUCGCUGGGACGGUACUGACGCUGAGGCGCGAAAGCGUGGGGAGCGAACAGG